GGCUCCCCCGCGCCGCCUGGGCUCCGGCCGCGCCUCGGUGUGUCCCCGCAGGCUGAGCGGGGGCGGCGGGGCGGGCUGAGGUGCCUCCAGCACCCCGAGUCUCCGGCAGGCUCUUCCUCAGCCGGUGACAGCCGGUGGAAGCGAAAGGUCCCUGCACCCUCUGAGUCGCUCUAGAGCGAGGGCCACGGGCUCCGCCGUGGGCGUUGGGGCGCCUGUCACUGGAGAGCGGAAAUGUUAAGGGGGGGAAAAAAAAGAGGUAAAACAAUAUAAGACGUACCUGAAGUUUGCUGGCCCUCUCGCACAAAUCCUGUGUGCCCAUCAUCAUUUUGAGGACCUCAGUAUACGCUUGCAGUUACGUGGAUGAGGAAGAUGCAGAAACUCUUGUGAAAACUUGACUCCCCCUCACCUCGCUUGCUGCAGAGUCUAAUUCACCAGUAACAGAAAGCAAUUGUGUUUUUCAAGGCCUGCUGUAUUAUAUGAAAUAAUCAGUGGGUGGAGGAGGUUUACAAGAAAAAUUGUUCCAUCUGUAUGCUCUAGAGCCUUCAUAAAACAUGAGAAUAAGAAACACAGAAUCAUUAAGAUUGGAAAACACUACUAAGAUCAUCAAGUCCAAACAUUACCAUUGCACUGCCAGGUCCACCACUAAGCCAUGUCCCUAAGCACCACAUCUACAUGGUUUGUGUUCACUUCCAGAGAUGAUGAUUUCACCACUUCCUUGGACAGUCUGUUCCCAUGCUGACCACCCUUUCCAUGAAGAAAUUUUUCCUAAUAUCCAAUGUCAACAUCCCCUGGAGCAACUUGAAGCCAUUUCCUCUUGUCCUAUUACAUGUUGCCUGGGAGAAGAGAGUGACCCCCACCUUGCUACAACCUCAUUUUGGGAAGUUGUAGAGAACAAUAAGAUCUCCCCAGAGACUCCUCUCUCCAGGCUAAACAUCCCCAGCUCUCUCAGCUGCCCUUCACUUGUGCUCCAGACCCCUCACCAGCUCUGUUGCCCUUCUCUGGACACACUUCAGCCCCUCAAUGACCUUCCUGAGCUGAGGGGCCCAGAACUGGGCACAGAACUUGAGGUGAGGCCGAGUACAGGGGGAUGRUCASUGSCCUGGUCCUGCUGGCCACACUAUUGCUGAUCCAGGCCAGGAUGCCAUUGGCCUUCUUGGCCACCUGGGCACAGCUGGCUCAUGUUCAGCUGCUAUUGAUCAGCACUCCCAGGUCUUUUUGUGCUGGGCAGCUUUCCAGCCACUCUGUCCCCAGCCCGUAGCACUGCAGAGGUUUGUGUGACACAAGGAUCUGGAACGUGGCGUUAUUGAAUCUUGUACCAUUGGCUUUGGCCCAUCAAUCCAGCCUGUCCAGAUCCCUCUGCAGAGCCUUCCUGCCCUCCAGCAGAUCAUGCUAAUGCCCAGCUUGAUGUCAUCCACAAACUGACUGAGGGUGCCCCUGAUCCCCUCAUCAGACCAUUGAUAAACCUAUUAAACAGGACUGGCCCCACCAGUGAUCCCUGGGAAGCUCCAUUGUUGACGUGGUUGCCAGCUGGAUGAAGCUCCAGUCAGUGCCACUCUCUGGGCCCAGCCAUCCACACAGUUUAUUACCCAGUGAGCAGAGCACCAUCCAGGCCCUGACAGCCAUGUGAAGCUGUUCCAUACUUUGAUGUGUCUUUGACACUCUUUCUAUUAUAGACAUGAUAGUAUUUUACAAGUUAAAACAAUAGUUUUAUAGGGUCUUUUUUUCUGAGAUGGAAUGUCAAAACUGCAUACUUUUUAGUCCAUGUACCAUGGGAACAUGGUCGUUUUGUAUUGUUUCAGAAUUAUUUCUCCCUCUUUCCUAGUAGCUUAUAUUGUGUGCCUUUUUGAAUCCUGGUGCAUAUUGAACUGCUAUUUUCAAAGAAUUACCCACAAUGACUCCUCUUAAGACCACCUCUCACUAUGAUAAUAUUAAGGGAUUAUAUUUUUAUAUGAUUUCACCUUAUGUGUUAUGCUGUCUUUAUUGAUUUUAUGCAUCCAUGAUCCAUUUUAAGAACAUGAGAAUGAUUGCACUAGGUUAGACUAGAGGUUACCCUAGGCCAGUUUCCUGCCUCCUCCACUGGCUAAAAUAAAAUGCUGUUAAAAAAAACAAAACAUUAGAACCGGGCAAUCAUGUAUUGUUACUUUGUCAGAGUAUUCUCCCCAGCUCCAGCAGUUUGCAGUUCAGGAAAUUCCAAAGUCAGAGAUACUGUCUUUGUAGUUAAUGAAUUUUACUUCCUGUGCUCACUACAGCGUAAUUCUCCUGCAAAUGCUAGCAGUACGUUUUAGAUUUGACUGUCCUGACUAAUUUUUAUCACAAUUAAUGCUUCCUCGUAUUCUGUCCCUAUACCAUUAGACUUAAUUGAAAUAAUAAAGCCCAUUAAUGUUCAUCAAAUUUUUAAGUUUGUGUAGAACCUCAGUUAACKGAUCAUUCCACUCUUUUUUAGUCAUAUCUAAUGUAGUUUUUGUUUAUUCCAGCUCUUUCUCAACUCUGAAACUGUAUAAUUUCUUACUUUGGCUUGUUUGGCUACAAGUUUUUUUUCACAGAAGGUAGAAAACUCUUAUUUGAGGAGGAGAUUAAUGGAAUUUGAGGCAUCCUUUGACUGUUUAAGCCAAAGCAUGCUGCUGCUUAAGCUGUAGAAAUUCUGUACCAGCUGCAACUGUUCAAGUGAUUCACUAUUUUUUGAGAAGACAUGAUAUGAAUAGGGAUAAAAGUGGGAAGAACUGAUAAGUACCUUGAUUUAAAAUGUUUAUGCUUAACCCUUUAUUAUGUUCACAUGGUAUUUUGACAAUAAAUAUUGUAC